CCGAAAAAUGCGUCAAAACCGCCGCCAUCUUUGUACAGUGCUCCUUUACCUCAAAUGCAUAGACGAUGCCGGACUUUUGUGCUGCGUUUGGAUGUUCAAACGGAAGAAAUCUAAAAACCAGACAGCAAGGGAUUACAUUAGACAUGACAAUGGCAUUUGUACCUGUGGUUGACUUUGAAGUCUACAAACUUGGUACCAGCGACGUCACUGACGAGAACUUGCAAGAGUUAUGCGAAGAAAUUCGAAAGGCCUUCACUGAUGUGGGGUUUGUGUUUCUCAAAAACACUGGAAUAGAGCAGAAAGAGGUGGAUCAUGUCAUGGACAUUUCUAAGAAGUUCUUCCUUCUUCCUGAAGAGGAGAAAAGACCCUACAGUAGGGGCAAUUACACAAAUAAUGGCAAUCACGAAUGGGUGUCCUCCGAAAGAGAAAGUUUAAAUCCUGAACGUCCAGGAGACUUGAAGGAGGCCUUUAAUACUACAUCUCUGAAGGCUGAUAUAAAUUGGCCCUCUGAUGGUUUUCGUGAUAUCAAAGUGGACUUUUUCAUGCGCUGUAAGGAGCUCUCUCUCUGUGUACUGAGGGUCAUGGCUCUCAGUUUAGGCCUGGAUUCAGAGUUUUUUCUCAAAGCACACAAGUACAUUGGAAGUAUUAAACAAGAAUAAGGAGUUUAUCUCAGUCCCAAGCAUCCCUGGAACAGUGCUGAUCAACAUCGCAGACCUGAUGCAGAGGUGGACCAGUGACGUCUUUGUAUCUGCUUUGCACAGAGUUCUACUACCCCCUGAGAAUGACUCAAGCACAAGGCAGGCGUUGGCGUUCUUCGUGCAGCCGGAUAACGAUGCCAUCAUUAAGUGUUGUGAUGGCUCAGACAAAUAUCCUCCUGUGAACUCACUGGAUUAUCUGCUGUCAAGAUUCAACCUCACUUAUGGCAAGAAUUAGAAACGUGAUUCUCCUUACAUGUGUGUAGAAAAUUUACAUACAAUAACGCCCUACCAUCAGCGUGUUUACAUACACAUCAAUAUAAUCAUACUGAUUUGAUCUGAUGUUCACUUCAAAUUUGUGAUCAAACAUUCAUUGAAAUUUGUCUUGUUUAAUGUCCAAGCUGUGAAAUUUGACUGUGUAAUUUCUUUUAAUUAGGCACUUUCAUUGAUUUAUAGUAUUAUUUUUUUUUAUAGAUUUUUCUAUCAUUAAUUAAAAGUAACAAAAUAAUUAGGACUUUUUAGGAAUUUUUAUAGGCAACUUCUUUUUAGCCUAAAUAAAAAAAACUUUAUAUACUUUAUAAUUGAGAAUUGUAUUCUAAUCUUGUACUACUAUUUUAAUGUUCUGUGUUGACUGACAAUCAUUUACAAUGCAUUAUUAAUGCAAAUAAAGUUUCAUACAUAGUCAAAGCAA